UGAUCGAGUGCCGCACUGUGGGACGUGUGGCGAGAAUGGAUCAGAUAACUCUGUCGUCUCGACAGGGCGCUAAGCGGGGACCCAACCGUUUUGUG
rnacentral:ncRNA from 1 species